CUAUUUUAAAGUAGCCAAAAAGGAAUUUGUCUCUAUUAUUAUUUGUUACGGUUGCCGUCCAUAAAGCAAAACUUUUUUUCUUUGCUCUCUGCUUCACAGUUUUUUUUUUUUUUUUUUUUAACUUUGUGGAAUCUCUUUCUCUGUCUCUGUGCAGCGAUGGCUCCGCAUCUUCUCUCGUUUUGCUCAUAUCAGUAAGAUUCAAACUCUUUUUUGGUAAAUGGGGAAUUGUGUCUCCCUCUCAAUAUCUUUGGAUCAAUCUGUAAAUAAAGUAUCUCAAUGGCUAGAAGAGAACGGAGGUUAUACUCAUAAUCUAGAGAAGAAUCUUGUGGCUCUAAAAACAACCAUGGAAGAGCUCACGGCUAAGCGGGAUGAUUUAUCAAGAAAGGUCACAAGAGAGGAGGAUAGAGGUCUACAAAGGCUUGCCAAAUUCCAGGUAUGGCUUAAUAGAUUUGAGACUAUCGAAAAGGAAGUCAUUGAUAUUCUUGGUACUGGAAAUGUCCAACUUCAACGGUUGUGUCUUUGUGGGUUUUGCUCUAAGAGUUUACUGUCGAGCUACCGUUACGGUAAAACUGUUUUCUUGAAGUUGAGAGAGGUUGAGAAACUCAAAAGUGAAGUUUUCGAUGUGAUUGUUGAUCAAGUUCUAAUACCUGAGGUGGAGGAACGACCUCUUCAACCGACAAUUGUUGGUCAAGAAACAAUGCUCGAUAAGGCGUGGAAACAUCUCAUGGAAGAUGGAGUUGGUGGUGUUAUGGGUGUAUAUGGAAUGGGCGGAGUAGGGAAGACAACACUUCUCACACAGCUCAACAAUAAGUUCAAUGCCGCUAGGUGUGGAUUUGAUUUUGUGAUUUGGACUGUGGUAUCUAAAGAGUUGCAAGUAGAGAAGAUUCUUAAUGAUAUCGCUCAGAAAGUGGAUCUGGGUGGAGAGAUGUGGAACCAAAAAAGUACAAGUCAAAAGGUGGUUCACUUAUUCAAUUUCUUAAAGAAGAAGAAAUUUGUCUUGUUUUUAGAUGACAUAUGGGAGAAGGUGGAAUUAGCUGAGAUUGGAAUCCCAGUUCCAACACCACAGAACCGAUGCAAAGUGGUGUUCUCCACUCGUUCACAGGAUGUAUGUGCACACAUGGGAGUUGAAAAACCAAUGGAAGUCCAAUGCUUGGCAGACAAUGACGCAUUUGAUUUGUUCCAGAAGAAGGUUGGACAAACAACACUUGGAAGCGAUUCAGGAAUCCCCGACCUUGCAAGAAUAGUUGCUAAAAAAUGUUGUGGCCUACCAUUGGCGCUCAACGUUAUAGGAGAGACCAUGUCAUGCAAGAGAACGAUACAAGAAUGGCAUCAUGCGAUACAUGUUUUGAAUUCAUACGCCGCAGAGUUUUCUGGCAUGGACGAUAAGAUCCUUCCACUUUUGAAGUAUAGCUACGAUAGUCUUAAGGGGGAGCAGGUAAAAUCGUGUUUGCUAUAUUGCGCUUUAUUUCCAGAAGAUGCUAGAGUUGCAAAAGAAAAACUGAUAGAGUAUUGGAUAUGUGAGGAAAUUAUAGAUGGAAGUGAAGGUAUUGAUAAGGCAGAGAACCAUGGUUAUGAGAUAAUUGGUACUCUUGUUCGUGCAUCAUUACUGAUGGAGGCGGCUACUGAUCAGGAUGGAGUACAUAUUGUGCAUAUGCAUGAUGUUGUUCGUGAAAUGGCUCUGUGGAUUGCUUCUGAAAUGGGAAUACAAAAAGAGGCUUUCAUAGUGCGUGCGGGUGUAGGGUUACAUGAAAUUCCAAUGAUUAAGAAUUGGAGAGUUGUGAAAAGGAUGUCACUGAUGAAUAACAAGAUUUCUCAUCUCACUAGCCGUCCUGUAUGUAUAGAACUCACAACUCUGCUCCUUCAAAGCACGAAUUUGGAAGAUAUAUCGAGUGAAUUCUUCAAGUCCAUGCCGAAGCUAGUUGUUUUGGAUCUAUCAGAUAACUAUUAUCUCUAUGAACUUCCCGUAAUAUCAAAACUAGUUUCCUUGCAAUAUCUCAACUUGUCAGGUACUGGUAUACGUGAUUUGCCAACGGGUUUACAAGAGUUGAAGAAACUAAUUCACUUGGAUUUGGAGAAAACACGUCAUCUUUCGAGUAUUGUUGGGUUAUCAAGUCUAGACAAUUUAAAAGUACUGAAAUUAUCUGGUUCUCAAUUCCCAUGGGAUCACGACACUGUGAAGGAGUUGGAAGCCUUGGAAGAUUUAGAAUUAGUAACCACAACCAUCGAUCGUACUCCAAGUAAAGAGAACAUUUUGAGGUCUCAUAGGUUGAUGAGUUGUUCACAAUCUUUAAAGAUCAUGAAUAAUAGCAAUCUUAAAUCAUCUGAAAUAUUACUUCCAGCAGCUAUGGACAAGCUUCGUGAUUUUAGCAUCAAGUGUUGCACUAUCUCUGAGAUAAAGAUGGGAAGGAUAUGCAGCUUCUUGAGCCUCGUCAAAGUGCGUAUAGAAGAUUGUAAAUGCCUGAGGGAAUUGACGUUUCUGAUGUUCGCUCCAAAUCUUAGAAUUCUUUUUGUUGAAAAGGCAAACCAACUCGAAGAUAUAAUAAGCAAAGAGAAAGUUUAUGAAGGGAUUGUUCCUUUUGCAAAGCUGAAUAAUCUUCACUUAGCUGAUCUACCACAGCUGAAGAAUAUCUAUUGGAGUCCUUUACCUUUUCCAUGUCUACAAAAUUUGUACGUAAAAGCAUGUCCAAAUCUGAAAAAGCUUCCACUCGAUUCCUUAAGUGGCAAGCAUGGUGAAAAUGGACUCAUCAUAGGAUACAGAGAUAUGGAAUGGUUUUGCAAUGUGAAAUGGGAGGAUCAUGCUACUAAAACCCGCUUUUCGAGUUCUUCACGCCGACAGUGGCUUACAGGGUUAUAAUAGAAUCUUCAUAAGUUACGUUGAGAAGAAAUGGAUUGAGAGGACGAGAAGCUGAUAGUUUGAUAUGCCUAGAGUUUUGAUUAUAGGAGGACCCAAUAUUCCCAAAUCACUAUGGGAGCAAGUUCGAAGUUGGUAAUGCAGUCGUCAUUUGGGUUAAUUUAUUCCAAAUGGAAACUUUCUAUCUCUCUAUUAUAUUGCUUUUCUGAUGAAUUCUCUUCAUCUCUCUUGUCUUUUGCAUUCUGUGAAAUCAGCUUUGUAUUGGUUUAUGUGAGUUUUUUUCUUUCUUUGAAUGCCAAGAAACAUACUUUAAAGGGUAGUAAUGAAUGGCUGCAAAUUGAUUAGGAUGUGGAUCAGCAGUUCUGAGU